GAUGAACGCUGGCGGCGUGCCUAAUACAUGCAAGUCGAGCGAACAGAUAAGGAGCUUGCUCCUUUGAAGUUAGCGGCGGACGGGUGAGUAACACGUGGGUAACCUACCUAUAAGACUGGGAUAACUUCGGGAAACCGGAGCUAAUACCGGAUAACAUUUAGAACCGCAUGGUUCUAAAGUGAAAGAUGGUUUUGCUAUCACUUAUAGAUGGACCCGCGCCGUAUUAGCUAGUUGGUAAGGUAACGGCUUACCAAGGCGACGAUACGUAGCCGACCUGAGAGGGUGAUCGGCCACACUGGAACUGAGACACGGUCCAGACUCCUACGGGAGGCAGCAGUAGGGAAUCUUCCGCAAUGGGCGAAAGCCUGACGGAGCAACGCCGCGUGAGUGAUGAAGGGUUUCGGCUCGUAAAACUCUGUUAUUAGGGAAGAACAAAUGUGUAAGUAACUGUGCACAUCUUGACGGUACCUAAUCAGAAAGCCACGGCUAACUACGUGCCAGCAGCCGCGGUAAUACGUAGGUGGCAAGCGUUAUCCGGAAUUAUUGGGCGUAAAGCGCGCGUAGGCGGUUUCUUAAGUCUGAUGUGAAAGCCCACGGCUCAACCGUGGAGGGUCAUUGGAAACUGGGAAACUUGUGUGCAAAAGAGGAAAGUGGAAUUCCAUGUGUAGCGGUGAAAUGCGCAGAGAUAUGGAGGAACACCGGUGGCGAAGGCUAUUUUCUGGUCCGUAACUGACGCUGAUGUGCGAAAGCGUGGGGAUCAAACAGGAUUAGAUACCCUGGUCCUCCACGCCGUAAACGAUGAGUGCUAAGUGUUAGGGGGUUUCCGCCCCUUAGUGCUGCAGCUAACGCAUUAAGCACUCCGGCCUGGGGAGUACGACCGCAAGGUUGAAACUCAAAGGAAUUGACGGGGACCCGCACAAGCGGUGGAGCAUGUGGUUUAAUUCGAAGCAACGCGAAGAACCUUACCAAAUCUUGACAUCCUUUGAAAACUCCAGAGAUAGAGCCUUCCCCUUCGGGGGACAAAGUGACAGGUGGUGCAUGGUUGUCGUCAGCUCGUGUCGUGAGAUGUUGGGUUAAGUCCCGCAACGAGCGCAACCCUUAAGCUUAGUUGCCAUCAUUAAGUUGGGCACUCUAGGUUGACUGCCGGUGACAAACCGGAGGAAGGUGGGGAUGACGUCAAAUCAUCAUGCCCCUUAUGAUUUGGGCUACACACGUGCUACAAUGGACAAUACAAAGGGCAGCUAAACCGCGAGGUCAUGCAAAUCCCAUAAAGUUGUUCUCAGUUCGGAUUGUAGUCUGCAACUCGACUACAUGAAGCUGGAAUCGCUAGUAAUCGUAGAUCAGCAUGCUACGGUGAAUACGUUCCCGGGUCU
rnacentral:rRNA from 1 species